AAACAACCGUACCGGACACAACACGCAGAAUUGUGUAAAACACGUGUACAGUUUACAUGAGAAACACGUGGUGGUAGAUUAACGAGAAAAAGAAAGUAACGAAAAGAACGUUUAAUGAAAAAAGGAGGAAAGAUCGGACAAUCAAGUACACAGCUUGCGGCCAUUGCCCGUGGCCUUUGAGUAAAACAUCGGGUUAAUUGGAACACGGCGUCACAGGUUCUAAGUACGGAUUUUCAACGUUCCUCUCAUUGUUGUUAUGGAAUUUGGAAAGAUCGAAAAUACAUCAGCGUACGGCAUGGACUUGGCGUGGAAUUAUAGCGGCAGUCAUGUGGCCGCCUUAAACAGCUUAGUUGACUUCAGCUUUCCUGACGGAGCGGUCACUCAGACAGUUGAGAUGGACGGCGCCGACAACACCGGGAAUGAAACCUAUAACUUCACUCGGUCGGAAACCUCCGAAAUUCCCGGCGAGAUCCUGAUACCGCUUUACUCCCUAAUCUUUCUACUCAGCGUCGUUGGCAACGGCCUGGUCAUUGCUACCCUGGUCCAGAACAAGCGGAUGAGAACAGUGACCAAUAUGUUCCUGUUAAACCUGUCCAUCAGUGACCUGCUCCUAGCUGUCCUUUGUAUGCCAGUCACCAUCAUCCCCACACUGCUGCGGGAUUUCAUAUUCGGGGAGGUGAUGUGUAUUAUGAUACGCUACUUACAAGCGGUUUCCGCUGCCGUCAGCGUCUUCACGCUCGUUGCCAUCUCUCUGGAACGCUAUUGCGCGAUCUGCCGACCGCUUCACUCACGGAGCUGGCAGACGCUGUCUCACUCUUACAAGACCAUAGCGGCCGUCUGGAGCACGGCCCUCGUGAUCAUGAUCCCUAUCGCCGUGGUCCACAAGUACUGGACGCUACCCAAUGGGAACCACAAGUGUGACGAGGACUGGGGAGAAUUGGUGGACCUGAGAAGGGCAUACACGGUGUUCCUGGACGUGGUGCUGCUGGUGCUGCCCCUAGAGGUGAUGUUGGUGGCGUACGGACUGAUUGCUAGGACGCUGUGGAUUGGGAUUAAGAUGGAGAUGCAGGGACAACAAGAACUUCGCCAGCUCGGCAGUAACCGUGACGUCAUAGACGACGAGGUGACGACUAACGGCAACACGUGUUCCCAUAAACGCAUGGAUUUCGAGCAUUCGGCAGUGCGACGGAGUAACGCCGAGAAAAGCCUCGCUGCGAAAAAAAGGGUGAUACGAAUGCUGUUCGUGAUUGUCCUCGAGUUCUUCAUCUGCUGGACACCUCUGUACGCCCUCUAUACCUGGGUUGACUUCGACAAGGCCUCCGCCCGCAAGCACCUGACGGCAGUGUGCUGGUCGCUGAUACAGCUGCUUUCCUAUGUGUCUGCUUGCUGUAACCCUAUAACGUACUGUUUCAUGAACAAAAAAUUCAGACACAGCUUCCUGGCUGCUUUCCGUUGUAUCCGGCCAAAACUUCCGCCCCAGAUGAAGCGCGGGAGAGAUAGUGACUUCGGGUCCCCAGCGACAGGACGUUCCUCAUUCACGUGGAGUUUCAGAAGCACGGAGAUGAGCCGAGUGUCAGAACGCCGUGCUAGUAACAAAGCAGCGUUGUUGGCCAAUGCUGGCGAACGGAAGGUGUCUAGUACCAGCAGUACUCAAGCAUGCUAAACCCUGCCCUUCACACCGAAUUCCCUUGAUACUACCCAACCCCCUUUAAGUCUCCUCUUGCCACUAUCCUACUCCUAUUUCCAGACCCCCUCAGCUUUCUACUAGUUUUACUAGAUAAAAUAUUUUCACAGCGUGUUUAGAUUUUUAGUUUAGCUUGCAUUAAUUAAAGUGUCACUCCUCAGUUACAUUAUUCUACUUUUUCGGGAAAAAUCGACAGGAAGUUUGAAAAUUUGGGGCUUUUUGUCUAGUUUGCGUCAUUACUAGUAGAAAGCUCUGUAGGCUAGAACCCUACACCUUACGUUCAUUAAUUCCAUGGCUAGUUUUUGUAUCCUGUAGGUUUUUUCAACCGCUGCUUAAUUAGUUGGCAACCGGAUUGAUAUAGUUUUAAAAACACUUAUGAUCUUAACUCACAUGCUUUCUUUUACCAGAGCGCAGAGGCCACGUGACCUCGGUUCGACGUCAUCAACACCGCUUUCGAGUGCCUUACGAUCCUUACGGGGUCACCCUUCCGACACUGCACUGCUCU
rnacentral:misc_RNA from 1 species